rnacentral:tRNA from 1 species
GGGCGGUUAGCUCAGUUGGUUAGAGCAUCUGCUUUACACGCAGAGGGUCGGGAGUCCGAGUCUCUCACCGCCCACCA